rnacentral:rRNA from 1 species
CCUACGGGAGGUAGCAGUGAGGAAUAUUGGUCAAUGGGAGAGAUCCUGAACCAGCCAAGCCGCGUGAGGGAAGACGGCCCUAUGGGUUGUAAACCUCUUUUGUCGGAGAACAAAACCCGGGACGUGUCCCGGACUGCGUGUAUCCGAAGAAAAAGCAUCGGCUAACUCCGUGCCAGCAGCCGCGGUAAUACGUAGGGGGCAAGCGUUAUCCGGAUUUACUGGGUGUAAAGGGGGCGCAGACGGCAAUGCAAGCCAGGAGUGAAAGGUCGGGGCCCAACCCCGGGACUGCUCUUGGAACUGGAAGGCUGGAGUACAGGAGGGGCAGGCGGAAUUCGUGGUGUAGCGGUGAAAUGCGUAGAUAUUAGGAGGAACACCGGUGGCGAAGGCGGCCUACUGGACUGUGACUGACGUUGAGGCCCGAAGGCGUGGGGAGCAAACAGGAUUAGAUACCCGAGUAGUC